AGUGAACGCUGGCGGUAGGCCUAACACAUGCAAGUCGAACGGCAGCACAGUAAGAGCUUGCUCUUACGGGUGGCGAGUGGCGGACGGGUGAGGAAUACAUCGGAAUCUACUUUUUCGUGGGGGAUAACGUAGGGAAACUUACGCUAAUACCGCAUACGACCUACGGGUGAAAGCAAGGGAUCUUCGGACCUUGCGCGAUUGAAUGAGCCGAUGUCGGAUUAGCUAGUUGGCGGGGUAAAGGCCCACCAAGGCGACGAUCCGUAGCUGGUCUGAGAGGAUGAUCAGCCACACUGGAACUGAGACACGGUCCAGACUCCUACGGGAGGCAGCAGUGGGGAAUAUUGGACAAAGGGCGCAAGCCUGAUCCAGCCAUACCGCGUGGGUGAAGAAGGCCUUCGGGUUGUAAAGCCCUUUUGUUGGGAAAGAAAAGCAGCAGGUUAAUACCCCGCUGUUCUGACGGUACCCAAAGAAUAAGCACCGGCUAACUACGUG
rnacentral:rRNA from 1 species